UACGGGGGGGGCAAGCGUUGUUCGGAAUUACUGGGCGUAAAGGGUUCGUAGGUGGCUUGUUAAGUCAGACGUGAAAUCCCUCGGCUCAACCGGGGAACUGCGUCUGAGACUGAUGAGCUCGAGUGCAGGAGAGGAACGCGGAAUUCCAGGUGUAGCGGUGAAAUGCGCAGAUAUCAGGAGGAACACCGAUGGCGAAGGCAGGUCUCUGGGCCGAUACUGACGCUGAGGAGCGAAAGCGUGGGGAGCGAACAGG
rnacentral:rRNA from 1 species